AGCAGCCGCGGUAAUUCCAGCUCCAAUAGCGUAUAUUAAAGUUGUUGCAGUUAAAAAGCUCGUAGUUGAAUUUCGGGAUCAGUGGGUCGGUCGUGCCAAUGGUAUGUACUGGCCCUACUGAUUCCUCCUUCUUGAAGAACUGUAAUGCCAUUAAUUUGGUGUUGCAGGGAAACAGGACUGUUACUUUGAAAAAAUUAGAGUGUUUAAAGCAGGCAAUCGCUUGAAUACAUUAGCAUGGAAUAAUGAAAUAGGACGUUCGAUCCUAUUUUGUUGGUUUCUAGGAUUGACGUAAUGAUUAAUAGGGAUAGUUGGGGGCAUUAGUAUUCAAUUGUCAGAGGUGAAAUUCUUGGAUUUAUUGAAGACUAACUACUGCGAAAGCAUUUGCCAAGGAUGUUUUCAUUAAUCAAGAACGAAAGUUAGGGGAUCGAAGACGAUCAGAUACCGUCGUAGUCUUAACCAUAAACUAUGCCGACUAGGGAUCGGAUGAUGUUAAUUUUUUAAUGACUCA
rnacentral:rRNA from 1 species